rnacentral:lncRNA from 1 species
CACAACUUAGAAAAAGAAAAAGAAGAAAGGGGGGAAGCGGAAGUCAAAGCCCGACGUGGAAAGCUUCUUGGUAUAAGCAGAAGUGGUAGGAAGGAGGGGUGCUAGCCCGGCCAGUUGGCCCGGGAAGCUCCAACUCAUACUCCGAAGGAACCCCGUACUGAAUCCUAAUCAGUGAGAGUUCGUCUGGAGUCAGAGAGUUGGGAAUAGUGUCUGGUACAA